rnacentral:rRNA from 1 species
GACGGAGGGGGCUAGCGUUAUUCGGAAUUACUGGGCGUAAAGGGCGCGUAGGCGGAUUAGUAAGUUGGGAGUGAAAGCCCGGGGCUCAACCUCGGAACUGCUUUCAAAACUGCUAGUCUUGAGUGAAGUAGGGGGUGAUGGAAUUCCUAGUGUAGAGGUGAAAUUCUUAGAUAUUAGGAGGAACACCGGUGGCGAAGGCGGUCACCUGGACUUCAACUGACGCUGAGGCGCGAAAGCGUGGGGAGCAAAC